GGAGAGACAGUGGCUCAAUGGAAGAGCCUCUGCUUUGCUUGCAGAAAGUCCAGGUUCAAGCCCUGGCAUCUCCA
rnacentral:tRNA from 1 species